UUAGUCAAGAAGCAUCACUUUGACUGGAGAGCGCACAGCUUAGUUUCGUUUUAGUUCGUAAGGAGAAUGUUGUUCUCUUCGUCUUCAAGACGCUUCUCUCUCGCUGUUAGUUGUUAGCCAGAGUUCAGAGUUCUGCUGCCGAGUAAGAUAUACUCUCCUUCGGUGUUAGCCUGUGGCCAGGAAGCCAUGAUCAGCGCCUCUGUUACUUCUAUCGCGGCGAUCGUUGAUUUCUUUGGUUCUGAGGCCAAACAAAUUCGCCGUGGAGAGAACUCCUACGCAUCGGACCGUGUAGAGAGUUUUGUGUACAUGUAUGAUGGGACACUCAACUAGAUACAUCUCCGCAAAGGUGAAGGCUAGUACGAAGGACAGAUCUUACGAUGUUCAGAUUACUUUAGGAGAUGUGUCCGUCCAAUCUUCCCAAAGACAAGGAGCGCAGGGCGUAGUGGAUUCGUAUGUGCAGGAAAAGAAAGCAGACGGCAGCUGAUGAACCGCGUCUAUACUAUAGCCAUGAUGAUCCAGUGCCUUGUGAUGUAGAUGUAGAUCCUCAGCCUGAACCUGUAAGACAAGCAAGUAAACCUCCUACUCCCUCUGCUGUUCAGUAGCAUAGAUAUUUGGCCAUUGACAACGUGCUCCAGUCGUCCAAAUGCACAAACCUAAGGGAGAGGUGCACGAGACUAGAGAAGAAGCUGACAAAGGAUGCCAGGUAGUUUUCAUUUUGACGAGAUUUCUGACAAUGAGUACCUUGUGCAACGUUAUACUGGCCUACCUUCACCUGGGCAUUUCUCUACGCUUCUGGAUGUUUGUCAGCGCUUCGUACCAUUUCGCUACCACAGUGGAUGGCAGGUGAAAGUCCUCAGCCACACCGACUAGCUGUUCCUGACGUUGAUGAAGCUGUACUGCGGCUUCUCCAAUAUUGAUCUCGGAGUACCGUUUGCUGUAUCCGACAACACCAUCAGCAAUGUGACGCACACCUGGAUCUUCUUGCUCCAUGAGGUAGUCGCAUGAGACAUGUCAUGGAUCCAGAAUUCCACCGCUGGACAUGGCCCAGGAGAGCAUGCCAGCUUGUUUCACAGAUCGACGAUUACGUGACUUGGUUGCCUGGUCACCGAGCGAGACUCUUAUCAUAAAGAGUUGAGCGAGAUAAGGCUUGACAAGACAACAUAGACAAGCUAGUCUCUUUCAGUAAGCAGCACUUCUUGCCAUCACUACUUUAGAUAUAUCUUUCUUUGGAGGUCUUUUAUUAUUCCUACAAACAGAGACAGUGAUGCUGCCGUUUCUCUCCUUCUUUCUCUGCAUUUUAUGUAAGCUGAGCUCUGCUGUAACACUCUGCACGUGUCGGUAUCCCGAUGUGCCGUUUCAUCGAGGGGGAGGCAGUCUCCUCGUCAGUGUCUGUGGGUGUGUGGUGCUGUAUAUGCAGAGUUGUGUACGUGUGCUUCUCUCGUGACGGGCAUAGUGCAUGGUGGUGUGGCGUACUUGUGCGUGGCCUUUAAUCGUUUCAAUACAUGCGAGAAGGCAUGCUGUGUGGAUAUGGUUGCCUUGCUGUGCGCCAUUAUUCCAAUGUUUUUGUUCUCAUCGAGCCUUUGUUGGAUGAUGUAUUUCUGCAGAGGAGUUUACAACACCACCUAUACGUGCCCGAGUGUGAUCCCAAAUGAUGUAACCUAUAUUCA